AUGAGUCUGUUCAUUAAAAAAAUAUUUCCCAUAUUACUCAGCAUGCCUCACAGCGCCCAUUCGUGUCCCCCUGGCUGCACCCCAUCGCCGGCUGUGCUGAGAGGGAACAUUUUCCUGUCGAAAUCACAGUUUGAGAUGGACGACAGGGGAGGAGAGGUGUCAUGGUGGACAACUGAGUUUAAGGGUACUUUCAUGAUCUGGAGGUCUCACAGGAGUUUUCUCACUACCGGCCCCCUUUUGCACUGAACACACUCGAACUCACUGGGUCAAAGCCCCGUUAGUGAUGAAACCAAAAGAAAAAACAUGACUUCUGGACCAAAGUGCCACCGUUGCCAUAGCUAUGAGCGAGGCAGGAGCAGCGGAAGACCUCCUGGAAGAAAAGGCGAUACAUAAUGUCUCUUCACGCUCAUCUGCAGCUGCGGCAGGUUACAUACAGUAUCCACUACAUGCACAUGCCCUGGCAGGACUUCUAAGAUCACACUCUUUGGUGUGUUGCUAUGGACAGUUGUUUCAGAUGAAUAUUGUUAAAUGUACUUACUUAUUACUUAUUGUUACAUGUAUCACUCUGGCCAAAUGUUAUUAAGCACUUAAGCAGAAUGAGAAAUACUUUAUUGAUCCUCUGGGGAAACUGGGUUUCCGUUACAGUUGCUCCAACCAAGAAUAGAAACAUAUUUAGACUUGAAAUUAUAAUGAAUGAUAAUAUCAAAUAUGAAUACAAGUAGGUGAAAAUAUGUGUAUGAUACAGUAUAUACGGUUAAAGUGCUUAAUGCACCAAUAAACAGGUGUAGAUGGUUGUGAUAAAAAAGAUAAUUGUGAUGAAUUGAUACAUGAAUGAAUAAAUAAAACAGUUGUUAGCUGCAUGGGGCUACUGGAAAAGUUAUUUGUUUUGCAGGUAUAAUGGUAUUAUUUGUUAUGGUCGUAAACCCAAUUAAUGGACAAAUGAAUUAUGACACAUUAAGACAACUCUAUAAAAAGUUAAGGGAUCAUCAUUUGUUACAGACAAGAGUUUGUUGGAGAUUUCAUGGAAAUCCCCCUAAUAACCUAAAAGUAAAUGGCUGACUGACCAACACUGACGUGCCUGUAGU
rnacentral:lncRNA from 1 species